ACCGUCGAGGCAUCUCGAUGGCGCAGCGUGUUAAAAACGCGAAGUGGACCCGCGGAUUCUCCGCGCAAUACUCACGUCAGCGCCGACAAAAGUGACAGUCAUACGUUACUCUAAGAGGCAGAAUUAACUGUUUAGAAGCAAGCCGGAGAUGCAUGCCGUGAACUCGUGCUUACUGGUAUGGAGGGUUAAUUUCGAUGAAAAUUUCGGUGCUGGACGAUGGAAAAGAUUAUGAAACUUUGGAAUACGUGGUUAUCGUUGGGCGAAGGUUAGAAACAGAGGAGAACAUCAUUCGGUUAGUAUAUCGUAGUAGUAGAUCGUGUGAUACAGCGUGAUUCGAUCGAAUGAAUUAAUUGAAAUUUCGUUGGUUUACGUAUAGGAUGGAGCUUCUAAAAAAAAAAAAAAAAAAAAUAUGUAAAAAGUUCUCGAAUAUACGAGAGUUUACUAAAAUUAUUUUAGAUGUGCGUAGAUGAUGUUAUCGCGCGUGUUUAUAGCGACUUGCUUUAAUAAAUGCGAGAGACGAAUACGACUUCUAUUAAUUCCCUGUUUUCGAAUGAUUUUGAUUCGUCAAAGAGGAAUGAGUUUGGACUUUAGAUAUUACGACAUAUGUGUAAUCGUCAUUGCGCAAUAUUCUUUAUCUCGAUAAACUCUGUUACUACGAAAA